rnacentral:rRNA from 1 species
AUUAUUGAAAUGAAAUGUUAUUCGUUUAUAAAGAUGUCUAGUUUUUUUAGAAAUAAAUUUAAUUUAAAAGCUUUUAAUUUUUUUAAUUUAUUAUAUAAAUUAAUAAAUUUAUAAAUUUAAAUAUUUUAAGGGAUAAGCUUUAGAAUAAAUUUUUAUAAAUUAAUAAAUGAUAAUUAAAAUUAUAUGCAUAGAAUUAGUAAUUAUUAUUUAAAAUUUUGUUAUAGAUUAUUUUAUAAAAUAUAUUAUUUAUUAUAAUUUUAAAUUUUUAUAAAAAUAUUUUUUUUAAUUUUAUUUAAUAAUGAUAAAAUUAGUAUAUAUAUGGUAUGUAGAUAAAAUUUAUUUUGAUAAGUUUAUAUAAAGAACUCGGCAAAUAUUUUACUCGCCUGUUUAACAAAAACAUGUCUUUUUGUGUUAUAUUUAAAGUCUAACCUGCCCAAUGAAUAAAUUUUAAUGGCCGCAGUAUUUUGACUGUGCAAAGGUAGCAUAAUCAUUAGUCUUUUAAUUGAAGGCUUGAAUGAAUGGUUGGACGAAGUAUAAUCUGUUUCAUUUAAAUUUAUAAUAGAAUUUUAUAUUUUAGUAAAAAAGCUAGAAUAUUUUUAAAAGACGAGAAGACCCUAUAAAUCUUUAUAAUUUGUAUUAUUUUUAUUUUUUAUAUUUAUUUUAUUUAAAUAAUUUAAAUUAUUUUGUUGGGGUGAUAUUAAAAUUUAAUAAACUUUUAAUUUAAUUAUUUCAUAAAUUUAUGUAUUAUUGAUCCAUUAAUAAUGAUUAAAAGAAUAAGUUACUUUAGGGAUAACAGCGUAAUUUUUUUGGAGAGUUCUUAUUGAUAAAAAAGUUUGCGACCUCGAUGUUGGAUUAAGAUAUAAUUUUAGGUGUA